ACUUGUGUUCUACUCGUGCAUAUAACAUCAACAUAUAAAACCUAGGCUCGGAUGCCACUGUUGGGUUUCGUAGUAAUUUCAAAAAAAAUUCCUACGCGACGCAAGAUCAUGGUGAUGCAUAGCAACGAGAGGGGAGAGUAUGAUCUAUGUACCCUUGUAGAUCGACAACGGAAGCGUUUGGUUGAUGUAGUCGUACGUCUCCAUGGCCCGACCGAUCAAGCACCGAAACUACGGCACCUCCGAGUUCUAGCAUAUGUUCAGCUCGAUGACGAUCCCCGGACUCCGAUCCAGCAAAGUGUCGGGGAAGAGUUCCGUCAGUACGACGGCGUGGUGACGAUCUUGAUGUACUACCGUCGCAGGGCUUCGCCUAAGCACCGCUACAAUAUUAUCAAGGACUAUGGUGGAAGGGGGCACCGCACACGGCUAAGAAUAUGAUCACGUGGAUCAACUUGUGUCUCUAGGGGUGCCCCUGCCUCCGUAUAUAAAGGUUCAAGGGAGGGGGGCCGGUCGGCCAAGGUGUGGCGUGCCAGGAGGAGUCCUACUCCUUUUGGGAGUAGGACUCCCCCCUUUCCUAGUUGGAAUAGGAUUCGUGGAGGGGGGGGAAGAGGAAAGAGAGGAGGAAGGGGGGCCGGCCCCCUCUCCUUGUCCAAUUCGGACCAAGGGGGGAGGGGCGCGCGGCCCAUCUCUGGCCACCUCUCCUCUCUUCCACUAAGGGCCACUAAGGCCCAUAUACCUCCCGUGGGGUUCCGGUAACCUACCGGUACUUCGGUAAAAUCCCGAUUUCACCCGGAACACUUCCGAUAUCCAAUCAUAGGCUUCCAAUAUAUCAAUCUUUAUGUCUCGACCAUUUCGAGACUCCUCGUCAUGUCCGUGAUCACAUUCGGGACUCCGAAUAACCUUCGGUACAUCAAAAUGCAUAAACUCAUAAUAUAACUGUCAUCGUAACCUUAAGCGUGCAGACCCUACGGGUUCGAGAACAAUGUAGACAUGACCAAGACACGUCUCCGGUCAAUAACCAAUAGCGGAACCUAGAUGCUCAUAUUGGCUCCUACAUAUUCUAUGAAGAUCUUUUAUCGGUCAGACCGCAUAACAACAUAUGUUGUUCCCUUUGUCAUCGGUAUGUUAUUGCCCGAGAUUCGAUCAUCGGUAUCCUAUACCUAGUUCAAUCUCGUUACCGGCAAGUCUCUUUACUUGUUCUGUAAUACAUCAUCCCACAACUAACUCAUUAGUUGCAAUGCUUAAGUUAUGUGCAUUACCGAGAGGGCCCAAAGAUACCUCUCCGACAAUCGGAGUGACAAAUCCUAAUCUCGAAAUACGCCAACCCAACAUGUACCUUUGGAGACACCUGUAGAGCUCCUUUAUAAUCACCCAGUUACGUUGUGACGUUUGGUAGCACACAAAGUGUUCCUCUGGCAAACGGGAGUUGCAUAAUCUCAUAGUCAUAGGAACAUGUAUAAGUCAUGAAGAAAGCAAUGGCAACAUACUAAACGAUCGGGUGCUAAGCUAAUGGAAUGGGUCAUGUCAAUCAGAUCAUUCAACUAAUGAUGUGAUCCCGUUAAUCAAAUAACAACUCUUUGUCCAUGGUUAGGAAACAUAACCAUCUUUGAUUAACGAUCUAGUCAAGUAGAGGCAUACUAGUGACACUCUGUUUGUCUAUGUAUUCACACAUGUAUUAUGUUUCCGGUUAAUACAAUUCUAGCAUGAAUAAUAAACUUUUAUCAUGAUAUAAGGAAAUAAAUAAUAACUUUAUUAUUGCCUCUAGGGCAUAUUUCCUUCAAUUACUCCACACAUCGACCGCUAUCUAGCAUGCAUCUAGAGUUUUAAGUUCAUAAAGAACGUAGUAACGCCUUAAGCAAGAUGACAUGAUGUAGAGGAAUUAACUCAAGCAAUAUGAUGAAAACCCCAUCUUUUCAUCCUCGAUGGCAACAAUACAAUAUGUGCCUUGCAGCCUCUGUUGGAAAAGGCAGUGCCUAGGAGGCGCUUAGGCAUGCCUAGGCGCUAGGCAAUGGCCAAAAACCUCGCCUAGGGCAUAAAUGGAGGUCUAGGCAGGGCAAGUAAGGAAUUGUCUACCCAAGCAAGGAAUCAUGCAACAUAAUAUACUAAUAUGCCAAAUGGGUUAGAUUCCAAUGGACGUAGACAGUAAUUAACUUAUUUAUAUGCCCUAAACUAAUAUCAACACCCAUAUAAUAAUCACAAAUAUACUACGAGUAAAAACUAUAUUACCGCCUAGGUCGUGCCUAGGGCGCUUAGGCGCCGCCUAGGCCGCGCCUAGGGCGCUUAGGCGCCGCCUAGGCACUAGGCUAAGGCCAACCGCCUCGCUUACGCCUACUACUUUUUCCAACCUUUGCAGCCCCUAUUGUCACCAGGAAAGGACACCGCAAGAUUGAACCCAAAGCUAAGCACUUCUCCCAUUGCAAGAAAAACCAAUGUAGUUGGCCAAACCCAAAGCUAAGCACUUCUCCUCUGACUUGCACUCUAAGUCUCCUGGGUGUCUUCUGGUCCAAGAAAAAUCAUCGCAAAAGUUUUAUUCCGUUUGGACUCCGUUUGGUAUUCCUUUUUUGCAAAACUCUAAAACAAGGAAGAAACAGAAACUAGCACUGGGCUCUAGGUUAAUAGGUUAGUCCCAAUAAUCAUAUAAAAUAGAAUAUUAAUGCAUAUAAAACAUCCAAAACAGAUAAUAUAAUAGCAUGGAACAAUCAAAAAUUAUAGAUACGUGGGAUACGUAUCAAGCAUCCCCAAGCUUAAUUCCUGCUUGUCCUUGAGUAAGUAAAUGAUAAAAACAUAAUUUUUGAUGUGGAAUGCUAUCUAACAUAUUUAUCCAUGUAAUUCUCUUUAUUGUGGCAUGAAUGUUCAGAUCCGUAAGAUUCAAAAGAAAUUUUUAAUAUUAACAUAAAAACAAUAAUACUUCAAGCAUACUAACAAAAUAAUUAUGUCUUCUCAAAAUAACAUGGCCAAAGAAAGCUUAUCCCUACAAAAUCAUAUAGUCUGGCUAUGCUCCAUCUUCAUCACACAAAAUGAUGCACAACCCCGAUGACAAGCCAAGAAAUUGUCUCAUACUUUUGAUGUUCUCAAACUUUUCAACUUUCACGCGAUACAUGAGCAUGAGCCAUGGACAUAUCACUAUAGGUGGAAUAGACGGUGGUUGUGGAGAAGACAAAAAGAAGGAGAUAGUCUCACAUCAACUAGGCGUAUCAACGGGCUAUGGAGAUGCCCAUUAAUAGAUAUCAAUUUGAGUGAGUAGGGAUUGCCAUGCAACGGAUGCACUAGAGCUAUAAGUUUAUGAAAGCUCAAAAAGAAACUAAGUGGGUGUGCAUCCAACAUGCUUGCUCAUGAAGACCUAGGGCAAUUUUGAGGAAGCCCAUCGUUGGAAUAUACAAGCCAAGUUCUAUAAUGAAAAAUUCGCACUAGUAUAUGAAAGUGGUAUCAUAGGAGACUCUCUAUAAUGAAGAUCAUGGAGCUACUUUGAAGCACAAGUGUGGCAAAAAGGAUAGUAACAUUGUCCCUUCUCUCUUUUUCUCUCUUUUUUAUUUUUUAUUUGGGCCUUCUCUCAUUUUUUGGCCUUUUUUUUCGUCCGGAGUCUCAUCCCGACUUGUGGGGGAAUCAUAGUCUCCAUCAUCCUUUCCUCACAUGGGACAAUGCUCUAAUAAUGAAGAUCAUCACACUUUUAUUUACUUACAACUCAAGAAUUACAACUCGAUACUUAGAACAAAAUAUGACUCUAUGUGAAUGCCUCCGGCGGUGUACCGGAAUGUGCAAUGAAUCAAUAGUGACAUGUAUAAAAAAUGAUGAACGAUGGCUUUGCCACAAAUACGAUGUCAACUACAUGAUCAUGCAAAGCAAUAUGACAAUGAUGGAGCGUAUCAUAAUAAACAGAACGGUGGAAAGUUGCAUGGAAAUAUAUCUCGGAAUGGCUAUGGAAAUGCCAUAAUAGGUAGGUAUGGUGGCUGUUUUGAGGAAGGAUAUGUGGUGGGUUUAUGGUAUCGGCGAAAGUUGCGCGGUACUAGAGAGGCUAGCAAUGGCGGAAAGGUGAGAGUGUGUAUAGUCCAUGGACUCAACAUUAGUCAUAAAGAACUCACAUACUUAUUGCAAAAGUGUAUUAGUUGUUGAAACAAAGUACUACGCGCAUGCUCCUAGGAAGAUAGAUUGGUAGGAAAAGACCAUCGAUCGUCCCCGACCGCCACUCAUAAGGAAGACAAUCAAAAAAUAAAUCAUGCUCCGACUUCAUCACAUAACGGUCACCAUACGUGCAUGCUACGAGACUCACAAACUUUAACAUAAGUAUUUCUAAAACUCACAACUACUUACUAGCAUGAAUCUAAUAUCACCAUCUUCAUAUCGCAAAACAAUCAUAAGGAAUCAAACUUCUCAUGGUAUUCAAUGCACUUUAUAUGAAAGUUUUUAUUAUAUCCCUCUUGGAUGCUUAUCAUAUCAGGACUAAUUUUACAACCAAAGCAAAUGACCAUGCUGUUUAGAAACUCUCAAAAUAAUAUAAGUGAAGUACGAGAGUUGAUCAAUUUCUAUAAAAUAAAACCACCACCGUGCUCUAAAAAGAUAUAAGUGAAGCACUAGAGCAAAUUUUGCCUAGCUCAGAAGAUAUAGGUGAAGCACAUAGAGCAUUCUAAUAAAUCACGAUUCAUGUGUGUCUCUCUCAAAAGGUGUGUAUAGCAAGGAUGAUUGUGGCAAACUAAAAAGCAAAGACUCAAAUCAUACAAGACACUCCAAGCAAAACACAUAUCAUGUGGUGAAUAAAAAUAUAGCCUCAAGUAAAGUUACCGAUAGACGAAGACGAAAGAGGGGAUGCCUUCCCGGGGCAUCCCCAAGCUUAGGCUUUUUGACAUCCUUGAAUAUUACCUUGGGGUGCCUUGGGAAUCCUCAAGCUUAGGCUAUUACCACUCCUUAUUCCAUAUCCAUCAAAUCCUUACCCAAAACUAGAAAACUUCACAACACAAAACUACAACAGAAAAUAUCGUAAGCUCCGUUAGUAUAAGAAAAUAAAUCACCACUUUUGGUACUGUUGUGAACUCAUUCUUUAUUUAUAUUGGUGUAAUAUUUACUAUAUUACAACUUUUCCAUGGUUCAUACCCCCCGAUACUAGCCAUAGAUGCAUCAAAAUAAGCAAACAACACGCGAAAAUUAGAAUCUGUCAAAAAUAGAACAGUCUGUAGCAAUCUGGGUAUUUAGAAUACUUCUGUAACUCCAAAAAUUCUGAGAAAUUAGGAAGCCUAAUUUGUUUAUAAAUCCUCUGCAAUAAGAAUCAGUAUUUUAUCGUGCUUUUGCUAAAAAUUAAAACUAAUCUCCUGGGUGCAAAAGUUUCUGUUUUUCAGCAGGAUCAAAUCAACUAUCACCGUAAGCUAUCCCAAAGGUCUUACUUGGAACAAACACUAAUUAAAACACAAAACCACAUCUAACUAGAGGCUAGAUGAUUUAUUCAAAGCAAAACAGGACCUAAAAAGUAAGAACAAAAAUAAAAUUGGGUUGCCUCCCAACAAGCGCUAUUGUUUAACGCCCCAAGCUAGGCAUAAAAACACGAAUAGAUCUAAGUAUUGUCAUCUUUGGCAUUGGGGAAGAAAAGAAAAUUUUCUUAUCUAUGGCAUUUAUCUUUCUAUUUUGUGAGAGCACAUGGCCAUUGAUCGUAGAAGAAAGAUUAAGCACAUUGCGAAAAUUUGCAUCUAAACUUACCUUCAUCUCUUUAAUUAUUUUGUUUUGAUAGAAGCUCAUAAUGGCGGUAGAUUCAGCAUUCUUUUCCUUAGGGUGCCCAAAUAUGGUUUUCAUCUUCUCAUAAGUAUCGAUGGCAUCCCCUCCAAGAAAAUCGUUUUCAAAAAUAGAAUCCAAAACUUGCUUAAAAGAAGGGGGAAGGCCAAAAUAAAAGCUUUUUAAGUACACCUCAAUUUGAUAUUGCGGCACAUAGCUGGCUCGAAUCCUCAACAGCCGAUCCCAAGCAUCUUUCAAAGAUUCAUCAAGCAAAUAAUAGAAAAUUCCGGGAUCAUCUUCAUCAAGAUUGAAAUCCUCCUCAACUAGCCUAGUAAGUUUUUCCAUAGCAUUAUUAUUUAUGAGCUUGGAAAGGACAGAUGGGUUAUCCAGGGUACUUGAACCUGGGAGAAAACCCCAAGCUCUUCUAGAUUCGGCCAUGGAGAAAGAAACGAACAAAAAGGGAAGCGAAGGAAAGGCAAAUCUUUUUGAAAAUUGUUUUAGAAGUGGGGGAGAGGAAAAUGAGAGGCGAAUGGCGAAUAAUGUAAUGCGAGAGCUGAGAAUUUAUGAUGGGUACUUGGUAUGUCUUGGCUUGGUGUAGAUCUCCCCGGCAACGGCGCUAGAAAUCCUUCUUGCUACCUCUUGAGCAUGCGUUGGUUUAUUUCCUUGAAGAGGAAAGGGUGAUGCAACAAAGUAGCGUAAGUAUUUCCCUCAGUUUUGAGAAGGUAUCAAUCCAAUAGGAGACUAUGCAACAAGCCACUGAAUACCUGCACAAAUAAACACCAACUUGUAACCAACGCGACAAAGGGGUUGUCAAUCCCUUCACGGUUAUUCGCAAAGUGAGAGCUGAUAGAGAUGGAUAAACAGUAAAGUAAUAUUUUUGGUUUAUGGAAUGGAAAGUAAAAGAUUGCAAAGUAAGAGAACAGAGACAGAAAUUGCAAGUAAACAGAAACUAAUAUGAUGUAAAAUAGGCUCAGAGGCCAUAGGUUUCACUAGAGGCUUCUCUCAAGAUAGAAGUUAUUAUGGUGGGUGAACAAAUUACUGCCGAGCAAUUGAUAGAAAAGCGCAAAGUUAUGACGAUAUCUAAGGCAAUGAUCGUGAAUAUAGGCAUCACGUCCGUGUAAAGUAGAACGAAACGAUUCUGCAUCUACUACUAUUACUGCACACAUCGACCGCUAUCCAGCAUGCAUCUAGAGUAUUAAGUUCAUAAAGAACGAAGUAACACCUUAAGCAAGAUGACAUGAUGUAGAGGAAUUAACUCAAGCAGUAUGAUGAAAACCCCAUAUUUUCAUCCUCGAUAGCAAUAAUACAAUACGUGCCUUGCUGCCCCUAUUGUCACCAGGAAAGGGCACCGCAAAAUUGAACCCAAAGCUAAGCACUUCUCCCAUUGCAAGAAAAACCAACAUAGUUUGCCAAACCAAAUAUGUAGUUCAAAGAGACUUGCAAAGAUAUCAAAUCAUGCAUAUAAGAAUUCAGAGGAGAUUCAAAUAAUAUUCAUAAAUAAGCUGAUCAUAAAUCCACAAUUCAUCAGAUCUCGGCAAACACACCGCAAAAGAGUAUUACAUCGAAUAGAUCUCCAAGAACAUCGAGGAGAACUUUUGUAAUGCCCCGGACACACCCGUCGGUGGUCGUUACUCCUGGCGGGAUCUAAACUGGCCCCACAGAUCAAUACUAGUCUUCUCUAUGCACUUUGUCCUCACUCAUGCACACCCGGGAGCAACUUCCUGGUCGGUCACCCAUCCUGACACUACUCCAAGCUGAGCACGCUUAACUUUGGAGUUCUGUCCGAAUGGGCUCCCGGAAAAGAAGGAAUUCCUUAUUGAUAUGAGGAGAACUUUGUAUUGAGAAUCAAAGAGAGAGAAGAAGCCAUCUAGCUAUUAGCCAUGGACCCAUAGGUCUGAAGUAAACUACUCACGCUUCAUCGAAGAGGAAAUGGCGUUGAUGUAGAAGCCCUACGUGAUCGAUUCCUCCUCCGGCAGGAUGCCGGAAAAGGCCUCAAGAUGGGAGCUCACGGGUACAGAAGGUUGUGGCAGUGGAAAAGUGGUUUCGUGGAUCCCCUAUAUGUUUUGGGGGUAUAAGAGUAUAUACAGGAGGAAGAAUUAGGUCAGGAGAGCUACGAGGGGCCCACAAGGUCGGGGGCGCCCCACCCCCCGGGCGCGCCCUCCACCCUUGUGGCUGCCUCGAAGCCCUCUGACUUGCACUCCAAGUCUCUUGGGUGUCUUCUGGUCCAAGAAAAAUCACCGCGAAAUUUUUAAUUCCGUUUGGACUCCGUUUGGUAUUCCUUUUCUGCGAAAAUCUAAAACAAGGAAAAAACAGAAACUGGCACUGGGCUCUGGGUUAAUAGGUUAGUCCCAAAAAUCAUAUAAAAUAGCAUAUUAAUGCACAUAAAACAUCCAAAACAGAUAAUAUAAUAGCAUGGAACAAUCAAAAAUUAUAGAUACAUUGGAGACGUAUCAUGGGGCAGGUUGGAGGAGAAGGCCGUGCCUUGGCACUGGAGUGGUCGGUCGGGCAGCGACCCGGUCAAUGCGAGCGACAGGGGGCAUGGUUGAAGUGAAGCAGAGGUUGGGCGCUGGCCUUGUCGCGGUCAUGCGCGAGCAGGACAGGAAGCAGGGCACCGGCGACUUGACCCAGCGAUGGAACACGCGCGGGCGACAGGGACUUGAUGGUGGGAGAAGCGGGACUUGGCGCGACGGUUGUGUUGGGGAACAUAGUAAUUUCAAAAAAUUUCCUACGCACACGCAAGAUCAUGGUGAUGCAUAGCAACGAGAGGGGAGAGUGUGAUCUAUGUACCCUUUUAGACCGAAAGCGGAAGCGUUAGCACAACGCGGUUGAUGUAGUCGUACGUCUUCACGGCCCGACCGAUCAAGCACCGAAACUACGGCACCUCCGAGUUUUAGCACACGUUCAGCUCGAUGACGAUCCCCGGACUCCGAUCCAGCAAAGUGUCGGGGAAGAGUUCCGUCAGCACGACGGCAUGGUGACGAUCUUGAUGUACUACCGUCGCAGGGCUUCGCCUAAGCACCGCUACAAUAUUAUCGAGGAUUAUGGUGGAAGGGGGCACCGCACACGGCUAAGAAUAUGAUCACGUGGAUCAACUUGUGUGUCUAGGGGUGCCCCCUACCCCCGUAUAUAAAGGAGCAAGGGGAGGAGGCCGGCCGGCCCUAUAGGCGCGCCAAGGAGGAGUCCUCCUCCUAGUAGGAGUAGGAGUCCUCCUCCUAGUAGGAGUAGGACUCCUACUAGUAGGGGGAAGGAAGUGGGGAGGGAGAAGGAAAGGGGGGCGCCGCCCCCCCUCUCCUAGUCCAAUUCGGACCAGGGGGGAGGAGGCGCGCGGCCCACCCUUUCUGCCCCUCUCUCUCUCCACUAAGGCCCAUAUGGCCCAUUACUUCUCCCGGUAGGGUUCCGGUAACCCUCCGGCUCUCCGAUUUUCUCCGAAAUCACCCGGAACACUUCUGGUGUCCGAAUAUAGCCAUCCAAUAUAUCAAUCUUUAUGUCUCGACCAUUUCGAGACUCCUCGUUAUGUCCGUGAUCACAUCCGGGACUCCGAACUAACUUCGGUACAUCAAAACUCAUAAACUCAUAAUAUAACUGUCAUCGAAACCUUAAGCGUGCGGACCCUACGGGUUCGAGAAGAAUGUAGACAUGACCGAGACACGUCUCCGGUCAAUAACCAAUAGCGGAACCUGGAUGCUCAUAUUGGCUCCUACAUAUUCUACGAAGAUCUUUAUCGGUCAGACCGCAUAACAACAUACGUUGUUCUCUUUGUCAUCGGUAUGUUACUUGCCCGAGAUUCGAUCGUCGGUAUCUCAAUACCUAGUUCAAUAUCGUUACCGGCAAGUCUCUUUACUCGUUUCGUAAUACAUCAUCUCGCAACUAACUCAUUAGUUGCAAUGCUUGCAAGGCUUAUGUGACGUGCAUUACCGAGAGGGCCCAGAGAUACCUCUCCGAUAAUUGGAGUGACAAAUCCUAAUCUCGAAAUACGCCAACCCAACAUGUACCUUUGGAGACACCUGUAGAGCCCCUUUAUAAUCACCCAGUUACGUUGUGACGUUUGGUAGCACACAAAGUGUUCCUCCGGCAAACGGGAGUUGCAUAAUUUCAUAGUCAUAGGAACAUGUACAAGUCAUGAAGAAAGCAAUAGCAACACACUAAACGAUCGGGUGCUAAGCUAAUGGAAUGGGUCAUGUCAAUCACAUCAUUCUCCUAAUAAUGUGAUCCCGUUAAUCAAAUGACAACACAUGUCUAUGGUUAGGAAACAUAACCAUCUUUGAUUAAAGAGAUAGUCAAGUAGAGACAUACUAGUGACGUUUAGUUUGUCUAUGUAUUCACACAAGUAUUAUGUUUCCGGAUAAUAAAAUUCUAGCAUGAAUAAUAAACAUUUAUCAUGAUAUAAGGAAAUAAAAUAAUAACGUUAUUAUUGUCUCUAGGGCAUAUUUCCUUCAAUCUCCCACUUGCACUAGAGUCAAUAAUCUAGAUUACACAGUAAUGAUUCUAACACCCAUGGAGCUUUGGUGCUGAUCAUGUUUUUCUCGUGGAAGAGGCUUAGUCAACGGGUCUGCAACAUUCAGAUCCGUAUGUAUCUUGCAAAUCUCUAUGUCUCCCACCUGGACUAGAUCCCGGAUGGAAUUGAAGCGUCUCUUGAUGUGCUUGGUUCUCUUGUGAAAUCUGGAUUCCUUUGCCAAGGCAAUUGCACCAGUAUUGUCACAAAAGAUUUUCAUUGGACCCGAUGCACUAGGUAUGACACCUAGAUUGGAUAUGAACUCCUUCAUCUAGACUCCUUCAUUUGCUGCUUCCGAAGCAGCUAUGUACUCUGCUUCACAUGUAGAUCCCGCCACAACACUUUGUUUAGAACUGCACCAACUGACAACUCCACCGUUUAAUGUAAACACGUAUCCGGUUUGCGAUUUAGAAUCGUCCGGAUCAGUGUCAAAGCUUGCAUCAACGUAACCAUUUACGAUGAGCUCUUUGUCACCUCCAUAUAUGAGAAACAUAUCCUUAGUCCUUUUCAGGUAUUUUAGGAUGUUCUUGACCGCUGUCCAGUGAUCCACUCCCGGAUUACUUUGGUACCUGCCUGCUAGACUUAUAGCAAGACACACAUCAGGUCUGGUACACAUCAUUUCAUACAUGAUAGAGCCUAUGGCUGAAGCAUAGGGAACAUCUUUCAUUUUCUCUCUAUCUUCUGCAUUGGUCGGGCAUUGAGUCUUACUCAAUUUCACACCUUGUAACACAGGCAAGAAUCCUUUCUUUGCUUGAUCCAUUUUGAACUUUUUCAAAACUUUGUCAAGGUAUGUGCUUUGUGAAAGUCCAAUUAAGCGUCUUGAUCUGUCUCUAUAGAUCUUAAUGCCCAAUAUGUAAGCAGCUUCACCAGGGUCUUUCAUUGAAAAACUCUUAUUCAAGUAUCCAUUUAUGCUAUCCAGAAAUUCUAUAUCAUUUCCGAUUAGUAAUAUGUCAUCUACAUAUAAUAUCAGAAAUGCUACAGAGCUCCCACUCACUUUCUUGUAAAUACAGGCUUCUCCAAAAGUCUGUACAAAACCAAAUGCUUUGAUCACACUAUCAAAGCGUUUAUUCCAACUCCGAGAGGCUUGCACCAGUCCAUAAAUGGAUCGUUGGAGCUCGCACACUUUGUUAGCUCCCUUUGGAUCGACAAAACCUUCCGGCUGCAUCAUAUACAACUCUUCUUCCAGAAAUCCAUUCAGGAGUGCAGUUUUGACAUCCAUCUGCCAAAUUUCACAAUCAUAAAAUGCGGUAAUUGCUAACAUGAUUCGGACAGACUUAAGCAUCGCUACGGGUGAGAAGGUCUCAUCGUAAUCAAUCCCUUGUACUUGUCGAAAACCUUUUGCGACAAGUCGAGCUUUGUAGACAAUAACAUUACCGUCAGCGCCAGUCUUCUUCUUAAAGAUCCAUUUAUUCUCAAUUGCUUGCCGAUCAUUGGGCAAGUCAACCAAAGUCCAUAUUUUGUUCACAUACAUGGAUCCCAUCUCAGAUUUCAUGGCUUCAAGCCAUUUUGCGGAAUCUGGGCUCACCAUCGCUUCUCCAUAGUUCGUAGGUUCAUCAUGAUCUAGUAGCAUGACUUCCAGAACAGGAUUACCGUACCACUCUGGUGCGGAUCUUACUCUGGUUGAUCUAUGAGGUUCAGUAGUAUCUUGUUCUGAAGCUUCAUGAUCAUCAUCAUUAGCUUCCUCACUAAUUGGUGUAGGUGUCACAGAAAUUGGUUUCUGUGAUGUACUACUUUCCAAUAAGGGAGCAGGUACAGUUACCUCAUCAAGUUCUACUUCCUCCCACUCACUUCUUUCGAGAGAAACUCCUUCUCUAGAAAGUUUCCGAAUUUAGCAACAAAAGUUUUGCCUUCGGAUCUGUGAUAGAAGGUGUAUCCAAUAGUUUCCUUUGGAUAUCCUAUGAAGACACAUUUCUCCGAUUUGGGUUCGAGCUUAUCAGGUUGAAGCUUUUUCACAUAAGCAUCGCAACCCCAAACUUUCAGAAACAACAACUUUGGUUUCUUGCCAAACCAUAGUUCAUAAGGCGUUGUCUCAAUGGAUUUUGAUGGUGCCCUAUUUAACGUGAAUGCGACCGUCUCUAGAGCAUAACCCCAAAACGAUAGCGGUAAAUCAGUAAGAGACAUCAUAGAUCGCACCAUAUCAAGUAAAGUACGAUUACGGCAUUCGGACACACCAUUACGUUGUGGUGUUCCGGGUGGCGUGAGUUGCGAAACUAUUCCGCAUUGUUUCAAAUGUACACCAAACUCGUAACUCAAAUAUUCUCCUCCAUGAUCAGAUCGUAGGAAUUUUAUUUUCUUGUUAUGAUGAUUUUCAACUUCACUCUGAAAUUCUUUGAACUUUUCAAAUGUUUCAGACUUGUGUUUCAUUAAGUAGAUAUACCCAUAUCUGCUUAAGUCAUCUGUGAAGGUGAGAAAAUAACGAUAUCCGCCACGAGCCUCAAUAUUCAUCGGACCACAUACAUCUGUAUGUAUGAUUUCCAACAAAUCUGUUGCUCCCUCCAUAGUACCGGAGAACGGUGUUUUUGUCAUCUUACCCAUAAGGCACGGUUCGCAAGUACCAAGUGAUUCGUAAUCAAGUGGUUCCAAAAGUCCAUCAGUAUGGAGUUUCUUCAUGUGCUUUACACCGAUAUGACCCAAACGGCAGUGCCACAAAUAAGUUCCACUAUCAUUAUCAACUCUGCAUCUUUUGGCUUCAACAUUAUGAAUAUGUGUGUCACUACUAUCGAGAUUUAAUAAGAAUAGACCACUCUUUAAGGGUGCAUGACCAUAAAAGAUAUUACUCAUAUAAAUAGAACAACCAUUAUUCUCUGAUUUAAAUGAAUAACCGUCUCGCAUUAAACAAGAUCCAGAUAUAAUGUUCAUGCUUAACGCUGGCACCAAAUAACAAUUAUUUAGGUCUAAUACUAAUCCCGAAGGUAGAUGUAGAGGUAGCGUGCCGACCGCGAUCACAACGACUUUGGAACCAUUUCCCACGCGCAUCGUCACCUCGUCCUUAGCCAAUCUUCGCUUAAUCCGUAGUCCCUGUUUCGAGUUGCAAAUGUUAGCAACAGAACCAGUAUCAAAUACCCAGGUGCUACUGCGAGCAUUAGUAAGGUACACAUCAAUAACAUGUAUAUCACAUAUACCUUUGUUCACCUUGCCAUCCUUCUUAUCCGCCAAAUACUUGGGGCAGUUCCGCUUCCAGUGACCAGUCUGCUUGCAGUAGAAGCACUCAGUUUCAGGCUUAGGUCCAGACUUGCGUUUCUUCUCUUGAGCAGCAACUUGCUUGCUCUUCUUCUUGAAGUUCCCCUUCUUCUUCCCUUUGCCCUUUUUCUUGAAACUAGUGGUCUUGUUGACCAUCAAUACUUGAUGCUCCUUCUUGAUUUCUACCUCCGCAGCUUUCAGCAUUGCAAAGAGCUCGGGAAUAGUCUUAUUCAUCCCUUGCAUAUUAUAGUUCAUCACGAAGCUCUUGUAGCUUGGUGGCAGUGAUUGGAGAAUUCUGUCAAUGACGCAAUCACCUGGAAGAUUAACUCCCAAUUGAAUCAAGUGAUUAUUAUACCCAGACAUUUUGAGUAUAUGCUCACUGACAGAACUGUUCUCCUCCAUCUUGCAGCUAUAGAACUUAUUGGAGACUUCAUAUCUCUCAAUCCAGGCAUUUGCUUGAAAUAUUAAGUUCAACUCCUGGAACAUCUCAUAUGCUCCAUGACGUUCAAAACGUCGUUGAAGUCCCGAUUCUAAGCCGUAAAGCAUGGCACACUGAACUACCAAGUAGUCAUCAGCUUUGCUCUGCCAGACGUUCAUAACAUCUGGUGUUGCUCCAGUAGCAGGCCCGGCACCCAGUGGUGCUUCCAGGACAUAAUUCUUCUGUGCAGCAAUGAGGAUAAUCCUCAAGUUACGGACCCAGUCCGUGUAAUUGCUACCAUCAUCUUUCAACUUUGCUUUCUCAAGGAACACAUUAAAAUUCAACGGAACAACAGCACGGGCCAUCUAUCUACAAUCAAACAUAAACAAGCAAGAUACUAUCAGGUACUAAGUUCAUGAUAAAUUUAGGUUCAAUUAAUCAUAUUACUAAAGAACUCCCACUUAGAUAGACAUCCCUCUAAUCCUCUAAGUGAUUACGUGAUCCAAAUCAACUAAACCAUGUCCGAUCAUCACAUGAGAUGGAGUAGUUUCAUUGGUGAACAUCGCUAUGUUGAUCAUAUCUACUAUAUGAUUCACGCUCGACCUUUCGGUCUCCGUGUUCCGAGGCCAUAUCUGUAUAUGCUUGGCUCGUCAAGUUUAACCUGAGUAUUCUGCGUGUGCAACUGUUUUGCACCCAUUGUAUUUGAACGUAGAGCCUAUCACACCGGAUCAUCACGUGGUGUCUCAGCACGAAGAACUUUGGCAACGGUGCAUACUCAGGGAGAACACUUCUUGUGAAUUAGUGAGAGAUCAUCUUAAAAUGCUACCGUCAAUCAAAGCAAGAUAAGAUGCAUAAAAGAUAAACAUCACAUGCAAUCAAUAUAAGUGAUAUGAUAUGGUCAUCAUCAUCUUGUGCUUGUGAUCUCCAUCUUCGAAGCACCGUCGUGAUCGCCAUCAUCACCGGCGCGACACCUUGAUCAUCAUCGUAGCAUCGUUGUCGUCUCGCCAAUCUUAUGCUUCCACGACUAUCGCUACCGCUUAGUGAUAAAGUAAAGCAUUACAGUGCAAUUGCAUUGCUUACAAUAAAGUGACAACCAUAUGGCUCCUGCCAGUUGCCGAUAACUUGGUUACAAAACAUGAUCAUCUCAUACAAUAAAAUUUUAGCAUCAUGUCUUGACCAUAUCACAUCACAACAUGCCCUACAAAAACAAGUUAGACGUCCUCUACUAUGUUGUUGCAAGUUUUACGUGGCUGCUACGGGCUUAAGCAAGAACCAAUCUUACCUACGCAUCAAAACCACAACGAUAGUUUGUCAAGUUGGUGCUGUUUUAACCUUCACAAGGACCGGGCGUAGCCACACUCGGUUCAACUAAAGUUGGAGAAACUGUCACCCGCUAGCCACCUUUGUGCAAAGCACGUCGGGAGAACCGGUCUCGCGUAAGCGUACGCAUAAUGUCGGUCCGGGCCGCUUCGUCCAACAAUACCGCCGAAUCAAAGUGUGACAUGCUGGUAAGCAGUAUGACUUAUAUCGCCCACAACUCACUUGUGUUCUACUCGUGCAUAUAACAUCAACACAUAAAACCUAGGCUCGGAUGCCACUGUCGGGGAACGUAGUAAUUUCAAAAAAUUUCCUACGCACACGCAAUAUCAUGGUGAUGCAUAGCAACGAGAGGGGAGAGUGUGAUCUAUGUACCCUUGUAGACCGAAAGCGGAAGAGUUAGCACAACGCGGUUGAUGUAGUCGUACGUCUUCACGGCCCGACCGAUCAAGCACCGAAACUACGGCACCUCCGAGUUUUAGCACACGUUCAGCUCGAUGACGAUCCCCGGACUCUGAUCCAGCAAAGUGUCGGGGAAGAGUUCCGUCAGCAUGACGGCGUGGUGACGAUCUUGAUGUACUACCGUCGCAGGGCUUCGCCUAAGCACCGCUACAAUAUUAUCGAGGAUUAUGGUGGAAGGGGGCACCGCACACGGCUAAGAAUAUGAUCACGUGGAUCAACUUGUGUGUCUAGGGGUGCCCCCUGCCCCCGUAUAUAAAGGAGCAAGGGGAGGAGGCCGGCUGGCCCUAUAGGCGCGCCAAGGAGGAGUCCUCCUCCUAGUAGGAGUAGGAGUCCUCCUCCUAGUAGGAGUAGGACUCCUACUAGCAGGGGGAAGGAAGUGGGGAGGGAGAAGGAAAGGGGGGCGCCGCCCCCCCUCUCCUAGUCCAAUUCGGACAAGGGGGAGGAGGCACACGGCCCACCCUUGUUGCCCCUCUCUCUCUCUCCACUAAGGCCCAUAUGGCCCAUUACUUCUCCCGGUAGGGUUCCGGUAACCCUCCGGCUCUCCGGUUUUCUCCGAAAUCACCCGGAACACUUCCGGUGUCUGAAUAUAGCCGUCCAAUAUAUCAAUCUUUAUGUCUCGACCAUUUCGAGACUCCUCGUUAUGUCCGUGAUCACAUCCGGGACUCCGAACUAACUUCGGUACAUCAAAACUCAUAAACUCAUAAUAUAACUGUCAUCGAAACCUUAAGCGUGCGGACCCUACGGGUUCGAGAACAAUGUAGACAUGACCGAGACACGUCUCCAGUCAAUAACCAAUAGCGGAACCUGGAUGCUCAUAUUGGCUCCUACAUAUUCUACGAAGAUCUUUAUCGGUCAGACCGCAUAACAACAUACGUUGUUCCCUUUGUCAUCGGUAUGUUACUUGCCCGAGAUUCGAUCGUCGGUAUCUCAAUACCUAGUUCAAUCUCGUUACCGGCAAGUCUCUUUACUCGUUUCGUAAUACAUCAUCUCGCAACUAACUCAUUAGUUGCAAUGCUUGCAUGGCUUGUGUGAUGUGCAUUACCGAGAGGGCCCAGAGAUACCUCUCCGAUAAUUGGAGUGACAAAUCCUAAUCUCGAAAUACACCAACCCAACAUGUACCUUUGGAGACACCUGUAGAGCCCCUUUAUAAUCACCCAGUUAUGUUGUGACGUUUGGUAGCACACAAAGUGUUCCUCCGGCAAACGGGAGUUGCAUAAUUUCAUAGUCAUAGGAACAUGUACAAGUCAUGAAGAAAGCAAUAACAACACACUAAACGAUCGAGUGCUAAGCUAAUGGAAUGGGUCAUGUCAAUCACAUCAUUCUCCUAAUAAUGUGAUCCCGUUAAUCAAAUAACAACACAUGUCUAUGGUUAGGAAACAUAACCAUCUUUGAUUAACGAGCUAGUCAAGUAGAGACAUACUAGUGACGUUUAGUUUGUCUAUGUAUUCACACAAGUAUUAUGUUUCCGGAUAAUACAAUUCUAGCAUGAAUAAUAAACAUUUAUCAUGAUAUAAGGAAAUAAAAUAAUAACAUUAUUAUUGUCUCUAGGGCAUAUUUCCUUCAGGUUGGUCAACGCGGGGUUGAGGCGGGGCGGCUGGGCGCUUGUAGGCAGGGAGGCCGCUGGCGCAUGAAGCUCGUCAUGAGGGCGGCAUGGCGAGGAACUCCGGCGACGAGGCUCGCGACACGGAAGCAGCGGCCAACUCCCGGUGGUGGUGGUCGACACCGACGGGCGCGCUUGCUGGAAGAGGUGAGGCUCGGGAGGUUGUCCAUCCGACGCUCCUGUGAUGAGAGCAAAUAGAGAGACGAGGUGAGAGGAGAACCAGAGAGGGGGAAAGGGGUGCAGGGAGACAGAACUAGGCGGCGAGGGCGGUUGGUGCUGUCGGUGGAGGCGAGCUCCAUGAUAAAGGACGACGCUAGAGACCUACUGGAGCCCGCCUUGCUCUAGCAAGCUACGGCUCGUCUCCGACAGCGACGAGGACGGGAAGAGAGGUAAGGCUCGGGCAGAGGAGGCCCCGGGCAUGGGUGCUCUCGCUCGGGAGGAGCUCCUGCCCUCGAUCGGGAGGCGACUGAGGGUGGCGAUGGGCAGGCGGGUGGAUGGAUCGGGAGGAGUUGGUGGAUCGGGAGGGGAGCGAGCUGUGCACUGGUUGGUUGGGAGCGAAUCCCGAUGGGAGAAGGUGGGUGGCGGCGCGACGACUGGAUAGGAGGAGGAUUUCUAGGGUUUUCGAAAUUAGGUAUGGGUGGACUAUAUGUAGGGAAAGGAGGAGGAUUUGGAUCCUCCGAUCAUAAUCGGACGAUUGAGAAAAAAUAGGUUUGGGAAGUCCAAAUAAGAAUCCGAAGAUGUUUUAGGGAUGUUUGGGGAUGAUGCGGACCCACCGGUCACGACUGCCCGGGUCGGGUUCGAGACAACUUUUCAAACGCGCACGAGGGGUCUGACAAAAGGCCACAACGACAAGGGUGUUUGACGGGCUCAGGGAAGAGAGAGAAGAGAGUGGUCUGGUUGAUUUGAGAGGAGGUCAACAAAGACAAGGAAGAAGCGGCAACUACGAGCAGAUGCAAGUUUUAGAAAAAUAACGCAACGGAGUUCCGAUGCAAUGCAAAAGAUGACAUGAUGAAUGCAACUAACAAAUAAAUCACAGAACGACAACAAAAAUAACUGGAAGCAACUGGAGCGUCGGUCUCGGGUUGUUACAAGCACCAAAAUAAAAAUAUACAACUCAAAUCAAUGAUGAUCAUCAAUCAACCCAUAGGACAAAACAGAUCUACUCAAACAUCCAUAGGAUAACCACAUAUCAUUGGAUACUAAUAUAUAGUGUUGAGAACCAUGUUUAAGUAGAGAAUUGCAGCGGGAAUAGAGGGAUUACACCGCUGCAUAGAGGGUGAGAAAUUUGGUGUUGACGGUAGCAAGGUUGUUGAUGUAGAUCGCCAUCAUGAUCCUUGCCCCAACGGCACUCCAGCGCCACCGAAAGAGAGGGGGAGAGAGAGCCUCUCUCCUUAUUAUCCCUUGGCCUCCCCUAGAUGGGAGGAGGGUUUCCCCUCUGGUCCAUGGCCUCCAUGGCGGCGGAGGGGCAGGAUCCCAUCCUAGAUUGGAUCUAUCUCUCUGUUCUCUUCUGUUUCGCGUUCCUAUUUUCUGGCCGAAAACCAUUUCUUAAUAUCCGAAGACCCGUAACUCCGAUUGCGCUGAAUAUUUAACAUGUUUUUUCCAGAUAUAAGCUUCCUUGCGGUCGAAAAAGAGCCCCAACCACUUAUGGGGUGCCCACUAGGCACCACCGCGCGCCAGGGGGUAGGCUGCGCCCUGGUGGGUAGUGGAGGCUGUGGGCCUCCGUUUGCAUUGAUUCCACCUCCCAAACAUCACAUAUAUUCCAAAGUCAUUCUCCGUAAAUAUUUAUCGUGUUUGUACUUCAUUUGAUAUGGAUAUCCUGCUAAACAAAAAACAUGCAACAAACAGGAACUGACAUCGAGCAUUGGAUCAAUAUAUUAGUCCAAUAAAUCAUAUAAAUUAUUGACAGAAGUACGUGAAAGUUGUAUAAUAUUGGCAUGGAACAAUAAAAAAUUAUAGAUACGACGGAGAUGUAUUAGCCGACUAGGUGAGUACCCCCUAACUCAGGGCGCCGUCACUUGGUGUUUAGGGAGUUGGUGUAGCGUCCAUGGGGAUGAUCAUAGGAUGCUCCACAUUACAUUUCUUGAGUUCUUCUUGGGCCUGAUCAGACACCGGGGCCAGUGGAAGCUUUCUCAAGAUUCAGUCUGACAUGGAUCUCGGUUCUUUGUUUUUCUGCCUAACUAGUCGCCAGGUCUUCGGGAAGCAUUAUCAAAUCCCGACUCGAAGUCGGGUUCGACAAGUGGCUCUCGCACUCGUGCUUAGCCAGAUUCGACGUUGAGGUAGGGACGAGUGUCUCAUGCUGGUAUACAGUUUGGUUUGGUACCCAGUUUGCGAAGAUCAAUUCUCCAUCGGAGUCAACGGUGUACUCCAAAUCGCCAGAUCUAAUUAACAAUCCAUCCUAGAGAAAAAGUUUCGACAUGGCCCAUGUGGCCGGUCGAGUCGUCGAAGAGGGCCAUGUUGCCGAAAAUGAAGAGCCGACUGGGCACAAAGGUCAUGCCGAUCCCAGCCUGCUCGCUGAUCUUGAUCCCCAUCAAAUCUCUGCGACAUCUUAGCAGGACUUGUAUGGGGCAUCAAUGAUGGAGCUAAAUUCGGUCGAUCUCGGGUAGGGGGUCCCGAACUAAGGGUCUUGAGAUGAUGAUAACGAAGACACAAGUUUUACCUAAGUCCAGGCUCUCCAGAGAGAUAAAACCGUACAUCCUGCAUGUGUUUUAUUCGAUCUAUUCUGAGAUUGUUGUGUGCCUUUUGCGAGCCCUACCCCUCACUUUAUAUAGGUACGGGGGGUCGAGGAUUACAGCCUAGUCAGCUAUGUAUAAAGAGGAUGAGUUGUAGACGACUUCUAACAUCUUGGAGUAUACAUCAAGUCGUCGGGAGCCUUCCUCUCAUAUGUCGUGGGCUGCGUCGAUGUGACCCAUUGGUGAACCAACAUGAGGGCCUUCGAUCCGGCCCACCGGGCCGGGAGACAACUUGUCGAGAGACACCCCCUCCCCACUUGGGAGACCGUCAAUAACAGCGGUGCACCUUCGGCUCGCUCGUGUAUUAGUAUCGUCGCUAGGUGGCUUAUAUACAUAGUUGUAUUUUUUUGAGGGAAUACAUAGUUGUAAUUUUAUUACCUUAGUGCUUUGUAUUAUCAUAAUGGAUUAUAAAUUGACCGGAAGUUUUUCCAAAAAAAAGAAAUACUCCUUUCGUCCGAAAAUACUUGUCAUCAAAAUAGACAAAAAAGGAGUUGUCCAUUUUGAUGACAAGUAUUUCCAGAGGGAGGGAGUAUGUUGCAACCAAUUUUCACGGGAUCGCACAAAGUACUCCCUUUGUAAACUAAUAUAAGAGCGUUUAGAUAACGCUCUUAUAUUAGUUUACAAAGGGAGUAUCAUCUAAUUUUACCUCUCUUUUUUAAGAAAAAAAAAAUGCCCGGCGGCUCAUAGACCAGGUCUAAACAGUCGUCAAGGCGUCGGCUCUUGUGGGUGGAGACUGGAGAGAUGGGGGCGUGCGUCGCCUACUUCUCACCUUCCCAUUUGCUACCCGCCACUAUAAAUUCUUCUACUUGUCUUGGCCCUCAGCUCCGUCUUCCCCGAGCGAGACCCAGAUCAAUCUCCGUCCCAGAGCAAUUCUGCCUCCGCUUCGCCUUGCCCUGCCUCGCCUCGGAAGGUUCGCCGCUGCAAACCGUGCUCACACUUUCAUGCACCCACUCCCACGCACUGCAUCUAGUCUUCUGCUGUUACUGCUCUAUGCGGCGUUUGGUCGAACGGUUGGUGGGUCGGGUCGGGUCGGGUCGAGUGGGUGUGCUCCCGACGGCGCGGAUCUACGGCUCUCUUUGCCCCAGUCGCCCGGUGGAUGCCGAGGCUAGCGGGAUCCUGCCCGCGGUGUUUCGUGGAGAUCCCGCCCCUCUUGUCUGAUUCUAUGGGUUUGGGUUUUUGGGUGGGAAUGGGUUGCCCUGCUUGCUACCUUUGAUCAGAAUUUGGCCGGAAAAAUGCCCCUUUGGCGGCAGUUUUGUUUCAUAUUUGACGGAUUGACGCGUUGUCGUGUUGGGGGUAGUGAAAGCUUUCCCUGGGUUUUGUUGGAUUUGGGCUCUGGCGCUCGCUUUUUGUGUGGAUCUGAGGAGAUCUCGUGGCUUAUGAAGUGUCCCAAAUUCGAUAGGUUUUGGGUGGCAAUGGGCAAGGGUUCAACUUGUGUGGUCUGGAAAGUCCAUUUGGUUAGCUCAAGUGUUAAGGUCCUUUUUUAGUCGCUAUGAAUUGUUUAUUUGGGAUGCAUUGGGGAAAACUUUGUUCUUGGGGCAAACGCAAACUUAGUAUACUCUUUACUGUGGAGUUGAAUCUUGGUGGCGAAAAUUAUUUAAACAUUGGAUGUAGUUGAAGUAAUAUGUGCUGGUGCAUAAUAUUUGGGAUCUGGUGUUCUACUCAGAUUUCAACAACUUUAUAUCUUAUUGCUUUUGAGGAUCAGACAACUUGAUUCUAUACCUUCUUAAAUUUCCUAUUUUAGUAGUAGGAUUUUUUAGUGACAAUGCUUGUACUGGAGGUUUUAGAAACAAAAUGACGCUUGGACUAAGUACCUGGUCACAUAUUCCCGAGUCUAUUUGGUUGGCUCAGUGCGUCAGCUGUUAAAAUGUUCCUUUGUACUCCUACUCAUUAUAGUUUGUCUGCGUGUGAUGAUGAGUAGAAAGCUCUGAGCUUAGUGGGAAGUCAGCAUACAUCUGUAUAUUUACGUGGAUUUUACUUGGAGGAAAAAAUUGUGAUAUUUUGUUUGGGCAUUGUUCUGAUUUAGUCACCAGAAGUAGUGCGCAGCAAGAACUUAAUAUGCGGGUGCAUCGUAUUUGAGAUCUGGUGUUCUGCACAGAUGGCACCUUUAUAUUGUAUACAUUUUGGGCUCCUUUGAUUCAAAGGAUUUUCAUAGGAAUUUCGGAGGAUUACAAUCCUCAGGAAAUUUUCCUGUGUUAGCUCUUUCCUAUAUCAUUUCGCAAAAAAAGAAACUCUUCCCUAUGUCGCAGGGGUACAGAGAUGCAUUUUUUCAGCUAUAAGCUAUGUCAGUAGCUUGUUUGAAAUCAUCAAAAAUACUCGCUUAAUACUAUGUCAAUAGAAAAUGCUUUCUAGUUGCUAUGUUGGAUGUUGGGCUUAUGCUUGACAUACCAUAUCAACAUUUCUGUCAUUGUGCUAACAUGAUUUCAUUUUAUUCUGGUACUUUGAUGACUAGUAGGGUGCUUAUGAUUUAUGGUUUUCUAAAUAGUAACUACUACUGUGGUUAUAUCAUAGGCUAAUACAUGUUAAUUUGCAGGGGAAGUAAAUCAUGGCAACGGGUCAAAUUUUCUCGAAAACCACCCAAGCAUUAUUCUAUAAUUAUAAGCAACUCCCUAUCCAACGGAUGCUUGAUUUUGACUUCCUCUGUGGUAUAUUCUCCCUAUCAUUAGUUUAAAAGGACUCUAUAGUGUUUCUGUUUUGUUUCUUUCUUAACUGAAUUUGCACUGCUUGAUAGGGAGAGAAACACCUUCUGUUGCUGGAAUAAUCAAUCCUGGUUCUGAUGGGUUCCAGAAACUUUUCUUUGGACAAGAAGAAAUUGCUAUUCCGGUUCAUCCUACGUGAGCUCUCUUCUCCCUCAUUUAUCUUGUUUGAUUGAACAAUUGUGCAGUUCUUAUUUCAGAUGGAGGGAUAUUGCAUUAGCACUUUGCUAGUGCAGUAUUUAUGUGUGAACAAUUUAUCUAUUGAUGUAUCUUUUGUAGAAUUGAAGCUGCUUGCAAUGCACACCCAACCGCGGAUGUAUUUAUCAACUUUGCAUCUUUCCGGAGGUUAGUUAUAGAAUUGAUAAUCUGUCUGGGAAAUACUGCAUGAUCUGGAGCAACUACAAUUUCACUGUAUUUUCUAAAUCUGCAGUGCGGCUGCUUCUUCAAUGUCAGCUUUGAAGCAGCCAACUGUCCGAGUUGUAGCCAUUAUAGCAGAGGGUGUUCCUGAAUCAGACGCAAAGCAGCUAAUUAGCUAUGCACGUGCUAACAACAAGGUAAGGAUUAUAUGUCACCAAUGUUCCGGAUAUUGGUAACUGGUACCAUCUCGCUCGGGUACUGAAUAGGGAUUAAUCGGCGAAUUAGCCAUUUAACUGAAUUUAUCGGUAGGUUACCUAGGGCCAUACCAAACAUAUUGCUAAAUAUUUGUGUUAGCCAUAUUCUGCUUGUCCCUCUACUAUCCUUUUUUGUCUUUCCUUUCCGCAUAAGUCACAUUUGGGCUGUCAUCACCGCUGCUAGGCUGAAGCCCAUUCAGUUCACUAUGGUUCCAGCGAUGGGUGUGUUAAAGAUUCCCCGUGUAGCCACUCUCCUUUCUCUCCUCCUUCCUCUUCUCCAGCCGCCACCUUCUUCCUCUCUUCCCCUUCCCAGAGCACGUCCCCAGCUCCUUCUUCCUCUCAUCCUCUGUCUCACACCGAGCGCCUAUCAUCUCCCUGCUUCUCUCCACUCCGUGGGAGCUGCGUCGCUGUAGGAUGCACUGGCCAAAGGGUUGGUGGACUGCGCCUGUGGCUACUCGAGCGGGAGGGGAGAGCAGGAAGAAGCAUGAAGGAUAGGGAAGAGGGGAGGUGCGUGCCGCCGGCCCAAGCUGCUCCUCCAAUCAAACCAGUUAACUGACUCACCAAGAUUUUUUGGUCUGACAGCCGAUUAAUCUGCUUGUCAAACUGAUUACUUGGCUCGCGCCGUUAAUUCAACGAGAAGGGGGUUUUCGUAUUGGCCACCCUCCGAGUAGGGAUUAACUCGCCGAUUAACUUGUAUGUCGGCCGAUAUUUUGAACACUCUAUGUCACAUGGAAUUACUCAUCCCAUAAUAUAGGAGAACCAUUUUCUAUCAAUAGUUACUACUACAUAACUUGUUCAAGGUUUGGACAGUGUAAAAGUUGCCAGAAAUCAAGAAAAAUAUACUGGAAUAUCACACCUAUAGUGUAAGAUGAUCCAACAGAGCGAUAGGGAAAAUGCGACUCUGUGUGCCCUGUGCGGAAAAAACAAAUAGUUGAGUCCAUAUAUAUAUAUAUAUAUAUAUAUAUAUAUAUAUAUAUAUAUCGUAAUGAGUUGAAAUGAUUGCUAUUUUUUCCGAGGGGACAUAAACGAUUAAACUGCAUAUUUAUUGUUUAUUUUUGCUAAGUGAUUUAGUGUUAUUUAUAGGUCAUCAUUGGACCUGCAACAGUCGGAGGAGUUCAAGCUGGUGCUUUCAAGAUUGGUGAUACUGCUGGAACCAUUGAUAACAUAAUUCAAUGCAAGCUGUACAGGCCUGGAUCAGUUGGUUUUGUGUCUAAAUCGGUGUGCUUCAAUUUCGUUGUUAAUAAUCUUACUUCAUCGCAUGUAUUUCUGCAUGAUUCACGUCCAUCAAUUAAGUAGCAAAAUAAAAAGAACUGUCCAGUGUGUCUGUAAUGACGACUUUUCACAGUCAAAAAAAAAAUGACGACUUUUUGUUUACAUAUGGUGCUUCGGCUUUAUCUUCUUCUUUUCUUGCAAAAAUGUGGAGAGCACCUGACUUUCCAUUUGUUUCUCUUUCCAGAACUCCACUUCUUUAAUUUGAUGACUAAUUAGUAUAUAUUUUCAAAUGUAUAUUUUGAAUACUAUUUACAAACUAAACUUCCAUUAUUUCAAUAGGGUGGCAUGUCAAAUGAGCUGUACAACACGAUUGCAAGAGUGACUGAUGGUAUUUAUGAAGGUACCUUGUUUGUGAAUAAAUGUCAAUGUCACAUUUACUGAUUCACAUGAAUAAUGCUUCCAUGCUAACAGUUUCUUAACAUAUUCAGGAAUUGCAAUUGGUGGGGAUGUUUUCCCUGGCUCAACUCUUUCAGAUCACAUUCUGCGUUUUAACAACAUACCCCAGGUUUGACACUUAACAUCUCUAUAUAGAAGUUGAUACUGUUAACCUUCUUCCUGUACUAUAUGAAUAUUCAUCGUCUUUGUCGCAUAAGUGUCCUAUGAAUAUUAUAUUUUUCUUCUCUGACAUGAUUGGACAUCCACAGGAUGUCACUGUAACAUGUUCCUUUGUUAGAUCCUUUUUAUCUUCAAAAUUUUGGAGGCAACUCCUUUACACUAAUUUUGGCCUAUCUCUAUUAUCUUUCCAUCCACUCCAAAUUACAUUUUUAGGACAAAAAGGUUGUUUGGCGCACAAGUAUGCUAUCAGGAUAAUGCCAUCCCUGAAUUACUUGUAACCCAAGUCUGGAUUCUGAGCAAUGGUGUAUCAACAUUUUUCAUUUGUUGGCUUCAGGUUAAAAUGAUGGUUGUUCUUGGGGAGCUUGGAGGAAGCGAUGAGUAUUCACUCGUCGAAGCCUUGAAACAAGGAAAGGUUCAGAAACCUGUUGUUGCCUGGGUUAGUGGGACAUGUGCACGCCUAUUCAAAUCUGAGGUCCAGUUUGGCCAUGCUGUAAGUUAGUAAACAAAUUGGUGUUCUUUUCUUCGAGUUCCAGUUAGCUGAACAAUACAUUUAGUAUGCAUGGAUCUGGUUUAUUAAUUUUUUGGUAUAACAGGGCGCGAAGAGCGGUGGUGAGUUGGAAUCCGCACAAGCUAAGAAUCAGGCACUAAGGGAUGCUGGGGCAGUUGUCCCGACUUCAUUUGAAGCUCUUGAAAGUGUGAUUAAGGAGACAUUUGAGAAGCUGGUACAUCACAGCUGAUGUCUUUUGCAAGUAUAAUUUUUGUGGGAAUAUGUUACUGGGGAUCAAAGCUUGGGGUUACAUAUAUUUUUUGCAGGUUGAGGAAGGAAAUAUUCCUCUUGUCCCUGAGGUUACACCUCCCCCCAUUCCUGAGGAUCUUAAAACUGCCAUUAAAAGUGGGAAGGUCCGAGCUCCCACACACAUUAUCUCCACUAUCUCUGAUGAUAGAGGUUAGAUUGAUGGCAACAUUUUAUCUUACUUUAUAAUUGUCCUUUGCCCUGCUAUCCCUCUCUGAAAAUAAUAAAUGUGAUGUGUAUGAUGCAGGUGAGGAACCUUGCUAUGCUGGUGUGCCCAUGUCUACAAUUAUUGAAAGGGGUUAUGGAGUUGGUGAUGUUAUUUCUCUUUUGUGGUUCAAGCGCAGCCUUCCUCGUUAUUGUACUCAAUUUAUCGAGGUAAUUUAUGGGCUAAAUGUAACAUGUAUAAUCUAUCUUCCCUACNNNNNNNNNNNNNNNNNNNNNNNNNNNNNNNNNNNNNNNNNNNNNNNNNNNNNNNNNNNNNNNNNNNNNNNNNNNNNNNNNNNNNNNNNNNNNNNNNNNNNNNNNNNNNNNNNNAUUUUGUACCUUCCCCCCUUCUACAUCUAAAGUUCAUUUGGUCCUAAUAAGGUUUCUUGAUAUGUCUGACAGAUAUGCAUCAUGCUUUGCGCUGAUCAUGGUCCUUGUGUAUCCGGUGCUCACAAUUCUAUAGUUACUGCUAGGGCUGGCAAGGACCUUGUUUCCAGCUUGGUAUCUGGUGAGCUUGUUUACUUGGUACAUGCAAACCUGUACCAUUAUGUACUCAACAGCAUACUGAGACUUACUGUUGAAAUAACACAGGAUUAUUGACAAUUGGCCCCCGAUUUGGUGGUGCAAUUGAUGACGCUGCUCGGUACUUCAAAGAUGCAUAUGAUAGGGUGAGCCAUCUUAUUUCCUGUCCCUAUAUUUUUUUUCCAACUCCAGUUUUUCAUGUGUUUCUUAAUUGAUCUGAUAAGCUACAUCAAUUGAUUCUAGGGUCUUACGCCUUAUGAAUUUGUUGAGGGCAUGAAAAAGAAGGGAAUCCGUGUCCCUGGGAUUGGUCACAGGUAUAAUACACCCUUGGCAUCAUAAUAAGCUUGCACCUGAAAAGUGAUUUCAAGACAUAAGUUUGUUGUUUCUAAAUUUCACUUGCAUACCUUCAUUAGGAUCAAAAGCAGAGACAACAGGGACAAGAGAGUGCAGCUUUUACAGAAAUAUGCUCACACACACUUCCCUUCAGUCAAGUACAUGGAGUACGCUGUUCAGGUUGAGACCUACACCCUGUCAAAGGCCAACAAUUUGGUUAUGAACGUUGACGGUGCGAUUGGCUCGCUUUUCUUGGAUCUUCUUUCUGGGAGUGGAAUGUUCAGCAAGCAAGAAAUUGAUGAGAUUGUAGAGAUUGGAUAUCUUAAUGGACUCUUUGUGCUUGCACGUUCAAUUGGCCUAAUUGGGUAAGUCUUUAUAAUGAUAAAUGUAACCAACUACUGUACAUUAUUGUUACUCUAGUUACAUUCUUCUUAAUAAUAUUUCCAUCUGCUUCUUGGAUCAACAGCCACACCUUUGAUCAGAAGAGGCUCAAGCAACCACUCUACCGUCACCCUUGGGAAGAUGUCCUGUACACCAAGUGAAGCCGACUCAGCACGGCAUCUUAUGGAUCUUCCACUUGUGUGUACACCAUAAAAUCGAGCAUAAUUGCAUAGAAUUCAAAGUUCUGAUUGUCAACUAGGCGAGGAGGGAGAGAAGACCGUUACAGAUGAGCACUGGCUGUGUGUAUGUCUUGUGGGACUGGUGUGUUUUUUAUAAGCUCCAACGUAAGUAAUUUUUAUUGUUCAAGCAUGAAAGCUUUAGGGCAUCAAAUAUUUGAGAGGAUACUUGAUAAUUGUUUCAUGUUAUCAUCAAUUAAGUGACCACCAAAUUUUCUUCAGACAUUUGGGGAGUGUUGUAAUGUUUGUGAUGCUAGUUCCCCAUCACAAAAAAUCUGAAUUCUGUA
rnacentral:lncRNA from 1 species